rnacentral:rRNA from 1 species
AAUAUAAAUAACCCCAAAUACACAAACUCCUCCUAAAAACAAACCAUUUUUCCCCCUUAGUAUGGGCGACAGAAAAGGAACCAUUGGAGCAAUAGAGAAAGUA